CUCCCACCCUUGAAUAUUAUACCUUCGUUGCUUUGGCAGGCCGUGGAAACACCAGAGGCUCCGGCUGAUGCGUGCCUGCCAGAGGAAACAAACUCUGUUUUUAGUGAUGUCUGAGUACUAUAUAAUAGUUAAAACUUUCAACAACGGAUCUCUUGGUUCUGGCAUCGAUGAAGAACGCAGCGAAAUGCGAUAAGUAAUGUGAAUUGCAGAAUUCAGUGAAUCAUCGAAUCUUUGAACGCACAUUGCGCCCCGUGGUAUUCCGCGGGGCAUGCCUGUUCGAGCGUCAUUUCAACCCAUCAAGCUUCGGCCUGGUCUUGGGGCCUGCGGUUUCGCAGCCUCUAAACCCAGUGGCGGUGCUAUUGAGCUCUGAGCGUAGUAAUUUCUCUCGCUAUAGAGUCUCGGUGGUGACUUGCCAACAACCCCCAAUUUUUAUCAGGUUGACCUCGGAUCAGGUAGG
rnacentral:rRNA from 1 species